rnacentral:rRNA from 1 species
GACAGAGGGUGCAAACGUUGCUCGGAAUCACUGGGCGUAAAGGGCGUGUAGGCGGGUAGGCAAGUCGGGCGUGAAAUCCCUGAGCUCAACUCAGGAACUGCACUCGAAACUGCUUAUCUUGAGUGCCGGAGAGGAAAGCGGAAAUACCUGGUGUAGAGGUGAAAUUCGUAGAUAUCAGGUGGAACACCAGUGGCGAAGGCGGCCUCUGGACGGUAACUGACGCUGAGACGCGAAAGCGUGGGGAGCAAACAGG